rnacentral:rRNA from 1 species
GAGACAGCAGUCGCCGCGGUAAUACGUAGGGUGCAAGCGUUAAUCGGAAUUACUGGGCGUAAAGCGUGCGCAGGCGGUUAUAUAAGUCAGAUGUGAAAUCCCCGGGCUCAACCUGGGAACUGCAUUUGAGACUGUAUGGCUAGAGUGUGUCAGAGGGGGGUAGAAUUCCACGUGUAGCAGUGAAAUGCGUAGAUAUGUGGAGGAAUACCGAUGGCGAAGGCAGCCCCCUGGGAUAACACUGACGCUCAUGCACGAAAGCGUGGGGAGCAAACAGGAUUAGAUACCCCCGUAGUCCCUGUCUCUUAUAC